rnacentral:rRNA from 1 species
AUGACGACGGCUUUGCGUCGGAGAUGGCGGAGCUGCCGCUGGAGACGCGGUACCCGCCCUUCGCGCUGCGCCACCGGGUCGUGUACGUCUGCCGGGACCCCAAGGACGUGCUUGUCUCCUGCUGGCUCUUCACUAGGAAUGUCAGAGAGCGUCGGCGUCGACGCGGAGUCCUUCUCGCUCCGGGAGGCCAUGGAGCUCUUCUGUGCGGGACGCUGCAUGUACGGCCCGCAAUGGCUGCACGUCGCCGAGUACUGGGAGGCGAGUCGCCGGGCCGCUGGUGAGGUGCUGUUCCUCAGGUACGAGGAGAUGCUCCGCGACCCCGUGGGGAGCCUGAGGACGAUGGCGGAGUUCAUGGGGUGCGCCUUCUCCCCGGAGGAGGAGGAGCGCGGGGUCGCGCGAGCCAUAGUGGAGCUGUGUAGCCUGGACAAGCUCAAGAAAGUGGAGGCCAACAGGAAGGGGAGGACGGCAGCAGGCACCAAGGCCGACGCCUACUUCCGGAAGGGGGUGGCCGGGGAUUGGAGCAGCCACAUGACGCCGGAGAUGGGGAAGAUGGUGGACGAGGCCGUGGAGGACGGGCUCCAAGGGUCUGGUUUUAGCUUCACCGACUCAACUCCGGCCAACCCUGAAUUUUGUCCAGAUGCAUGA